CAAAUCUUAGCGGUGGAUCACUCGGUUCGUGGAUCGAUGAAGAACGCAGCUAGCUG
rnacentral:rRNA from 1 species